rnacentral:precursor_RNA from 1 species
GCUGCAUCCCGUGCGGCCGCAGUGUCACGUGUAGCACCAUGGGAUUCAGCUC